rnacentral:lncRNA from 1 species
GUGGGAAUUGACCUUAAGGUGAAGGGAGCCUCCGAGAAGACGACCAGGCAAAGCAUCCCUGAGGCUGCAGAACCAAAAGGCUCAAAGCCUCAAAAUUGCAUACGCCCAAAUUGCAUAGUUUGGCAAACCAAUUUAAAACACACCAUGAGAGGCAAAGGGAAAGAGAUGGGCUUUCCCCACCAAUGGUAUGAUUAUAAGGACCAAAGAUGAGGAUGGAGCAAGGAGGUCCACAGACAGAAGCAGAAUCGAAUAUGCAGAGUCAAAUAUAGAACGUACAAGCAGUGCAGCAAAUGCAUGGCACAUGUGGGCCUUCUCUGCCUUUCCAUCGAGCCCACAGAGCACUUCACGACAGGCAGUGAAACAUUCGGCAUGGUCUUCAGCCUUCCUCACAGAGUCUACAAACUUUGACUCCUUCCAAAAG